AGCGAACGCUGGCGGCAGGCUUAACACAUGCAAGUCGAGCGGGCACUUCGGUGUCAGCGGCAGACGGGUGAGUAACACGUGGGAACGUACCCUUCGGUUCGGAAUAACGCUGGGAAACUAGCGCUAAUACCGGAUACGCCCUUUUGGGGAAAGGUUUACUGCCGAAGGAUCGGCCCGCGUCUGAUUAGCUAGUUGGUGGGGUAAUGGCCUACCAAGGCGACGAUCAGUAGCUGGUCUGAGAGGAUGAUCAGCCACACUGGGACUGAGACACGGCCCAGACUCCUGCGGGAGGCAGCAGUGGGGAAUAUUGGACAAUGGGCGCAAGCCUGAUCCAGCCAUGCCGCGUGAGUGAUGAAGGCCUUAGGGUUGUAAAGCUCUUUUGUCCGGGACGAUAAUGACGGUACCGGAAGAAUAAGCCCCGGCUAACUUCGUG
rnacentral:rRNA from 1 species